AAUAGAUACCCUGGUAGUCCACGCCGUAAACGAUGAGUGCUAGGUGUUGGGGGGACCCCCCUCAGUGCCGCAGGUAACCCAAUAAGCACUCCGCCUGGGGAGUACGGUCGCAAGACUGAAACUCAAAGGAAUUGACGGGGGCCCGCACAAGCGGUGGAGCAUGUGGUUUAAUUCGAAGCAACGCGAAGAACCUUACCAGGGCUUGACAUCCCGCUGACCGGUGUAGAGAUAUGCCUUUCCCCUUCGGGGGACAGCGGUGACAGGUGGUGCAUGGUUGUCGUCAGCUCGUGUCGUGAGAUGUUGGGUUCAGUCCCGCAACGAGCGCAACCCUUGUUUCUAGUUGCCAGCACUUCGGGUGGGCACUCUAGAGAGACAGCCGGUGAAAGCCGGAGGAAGGUGGGGAUGACGUCAAAUCAUCAUGCCCCUUAUGUCCUGGGCUACACACGUGCUACAAUGGCUGGUACAAAGGGCAGCGAACCCGCGAGGGGAGCCAAUCCCAAAAAACCAGUCUCAGUUCGGAUUGCAGGCUGCAACUCG
rnacentral:rRNA from 1 species